CUCCCCACCUCCCUUUACCCCCCCACCCCCAUUUCACCCCAUAAAUCGGAGCCCACUUAACUAACGAAUGACCAAAUUUGAAAACAGAAAAAAAAU